GCACCAGUGGCGAAAUUGGCAGACGCGCACGCUUGAGGGGCGUGUGGGCAACCGUACGGGUUCGAGUCCCGUCUGGUGCACCA
rnacentral:tRNA from 2 species